AGAAUACGGAUGUGUUUACUACAAUAUCCUAAGAGCCUGUGCCAGCCCCAUUGCAUGGUAGAGCAAAGGAUAACCACAACCUUGGCUACUCUGCUUAAACACAACCCUCCACAACUGGCUGGGUGGAGGGUCAGUGUAGCUCUACAUCAGCCAGUGAAAACAUCAAGAAAGCUGUCUGUCUGCCAUUUAAAGCUCUUUCUUUUGUGGUGGGAGUCACCAAAAGUAAUUCAAGACACAUCUCAAUGAGCCUGACCAGGUACUGGCAACACUUUUUCAGAUUUCCUGAACCACACGCCCCUCCACUUCAGACAUGCAAGGAAAGCACUUUGGUUCAUGUUAGUCCCUCACCUUUCUACAAAGCUGGUGGAGACCAGCAAGAGGCCUCUCUGGUUCCUACAGUAUGGCUGACUUCCAUUCUUGACAAGUGAGCCUUGCAUUCACACAUCCCACUGGAGAAGGUUUUCCUUGCAGAGGUUUGCUAGGUCACCAGAACAGGAGCACAGAGCCUGCAGUUUCAGCAUCCCCUAACUGUUUGUUGAAAGUUAAGCUGGUGCCAUUUUAUAACAGCAGACAGAAGAGGAGGAAAUCAAACCCUGCCUGGAAAAAAAUAUAUUUAAAAAGAUUUUCUGAUGUAUGUCAUCCUCUAGGCUUGGGAUGAAAAGAAUGCAAGCAGGAUUUAGAUAUAGAUCUUGGAUAUUGCUCUUGAAAUAGCAACAGAAACUAGUAUCAAAAACAUUUAUAUUUGGGAAGAAAAGGAAAGAGAUGUGAUGCGGGGCGAUUUUGUGAGAGGAGCCAAUCUACACUAAAGAUUUUGGCUCAGAAAAUUCAGUCACACUCUUUUUUUAUUAUUUAUUCAAAGCCCACUGAGUCCUCUUUUUAAUCCUUUUGUUUCAUAUCAUCCUCACAACUACUUAUAGGUCUCUUGUAUCCUAAUUUUAUCAAUGAGGAAUUGAAGCUGAAAGGGUUGUAAUAUGACCAAGGCCACACAAUGAGCUGAUGGCCAAGGUGUGACCUGAAGUCAAGCUUCCCAGGGAGAAGAUCAGCUCAGGACUGCAAUGUCUCACUAAUUCAACUUCAGCUGCCAUCCUGUAUGUACUUACCUGGAAGUAAGUGCCACUGGACUUAAGGGGA